UGUGUGUGUAGCUGAGCGCACAGGGACUUGAGCUCUCCCUAAACCUCACAGUAAAUCCCUUUAGCUGUGAGUUUACAUGGCUUGACUGAUCUCUGCGGGACGAUCCAGGAAAUGCAACAGGUGGAGGAGCAGAUAAUGAACUCUGUGCUGCCGUCUUGUUAGCGUCCCAGGCUAGCUGCUGUGUAGCCUACUUGAAGGUGCCUGUGGACGUCGGGACAAACUGCGCACUGUUGUAAAAAGGUCAGGUGGAAAUAGCACCAUGGAUGACAACAGCUUAAACGUGAAAGUCGCUGUCCGUGUGCGACCAAUGAACAGAAGAGAAAAAGACUUGAAGACGAAAUGUGUGGUGGAGAUGGAGGGGAAUCAGACAGUUCUGCAUCCAGCUGUCGCUAAUAUGAACAAAGGAGACCCCAGGUACGCUGCAAAGAAGUUU